GAUGAACGCUAGCUACAGGCUUAACACAUGCAAGUCGAGGGGCAGCAUGGUCUUAGCUUGCUAAGGCCGAUGGCGACCGGCGCACGGGUGAGUAACACGUAUCCAACCUGCCGUCUACUCUUGGACAGCCUUCUGAAAGGAAGAUUAAUACAAGAUGGCAUCAUGAGUUCACAUGUUCACAUGAUUAAAGGUAUUCCGGUAGACGAUGGGGAUGCGUUCCAUUAGAUAGUAGGCGGGGUAACGGCCCACCUAGUCUUCGAUGGAUAGGGGUUCUGAGAGGAAGGUCCCCCACAUUGGAACUGAGACACGGUCCAAACUCCUACGGGAGGAAGCAGUGAGGAAUAUUGGUCAAUGGGCGAGAGCCUGAACCAGCCAAGUAGCGUGAAGGAUGACUGCCCUAUGGGUUGUAAACUUCUUUUAUAAAGGAAUAAAGUCGGGUAUGUAUACCCGUUUGCAUGUACUUUAUGAAUAAGGAUCGGCUAACUCCGUG
rnacentral:rRNA from 1 species